AUGUCAUGAUGUGGACACUUCCUAAGCAAUUCAUUAAAGUGUUCCCAUGCCUCAUGAAACGUUUCUCCAUCCUCAUGUGAAAAUUGUUCUCAUGGCAUUGGUCUU